rnacentral:pre_miRNA from 1 species
UUAACUCAAAUUUGUAUGUAGUUGGAACGUUUGUCUACGUUUGCUAGAGACGCUUAUCCAACUGCAUACAAAUGUUAAUUU